UACGUAGGUGGCGAGCGUUGUCCGGAUUUAUUGGGCGUAAAGCGCGCGCAGGCGGUGCGCUAAGUCUGCGGUGAAAUCUCCCUGGCUCAACCGGGAGGGGGCCGUGGAGACUGGCGCACUGGAGGGACCUAGAGGCCGGUGGAAUUCCCGGUGUAGCGGUGAAAUGCGUAGAUAUUCGGAAGAACACCAGUGGCGAAGGCGACUUACUGGACACAUAUUGACGCUGAGGUGCGAAAGCGUGGGGGGCAAACAGG
rnacentral:rRNA from 1 species